UACGUAGGGGGCAAGCGUUGUCCGGAAUCAUUGGGCGUAAAGCGCGCGUAGGCGGCCCGGUAAGUCCGCUCUGAAAGUCCAGGGCUUAACCCUGGAAAGCGGGUGGAUACUGCCGGGCUUGAAUCCGGAAGAGGCGAGUGGAAUUCCUGGUGUAGCGGUGGAAUGCGCAGAUAUCAGGAGGAACACCAAUAGCGAAGGCAGCUCGCUGGGACGGUAUUGACGCUAAGGCGCGAAAGCUAGGGGAGCGAACAGG
rnacentral:rRNA from 1 species